rnacentral:rRNA from 1 species
AGUGAACGCUGGCGGUAGGCCUAACACAUGCAAGUCGAACGGCAGCACAGUAAGAGCUUGCUCUUACGGGUGGCGAGUGGCGGACGGGUGAGGAAUACAUCGGAAUCUACUUUUUCGUGGGGGAUAACGUAGGUAAACUUACGCUAAUACCGCAUACGACCUACGGGUGAAAGCAGGGGAUCUUCGGACCUUGCGCGAUUGAAUGAGCCGAUGUCGGAUUAGCUAGUUGGCGGGGUAAAGGCCCACCCAGGCGACGAUCCGUAGCUGGUCUGAGAGGAUGAUCAGCCACACUGGAACUGAGACACGGUCCAGACUCCUACGGGAGGCAGCAGUGGGGAAUAUUGGACAAUGGGCGCAAGCCUGAUCCAGCCAUACCGCGUGGGUGAAGAAGGCCUUCGGGUUGUAAAGCCCUUUUGUUGGGAAAGAAAAGCAGCAGGUUAAUACCACGCUGUUCUGACGGUACCCAAAGAAUAAGCACCGGCUAACUUCGUG